rnacentral:misc_RNA from 1 species
GAUGAAGAACGCAGCGAAAUGCGAUAAGUAGUGUGAAUUGCAGAAUUCAGUGAAUCAUCGAAUCUUUGAACGCUCAUUGCGUCCCUUGGUAUUCCAUGGGGCAUGCCUGUUCGAGCGUCAUUUGUACCUUCAAGCUCUGCUUGGUGUUGGGUGUUUGUCUCGCCUCUGCGUGUAGACUCGCCUCAAAACAAUUGGCAGCCGGCGUAUUGAUUUCGGAGCGCAGUACAUCUCGCGCUUUGCACUCAUAACGACGACGUCCAAAAGUACAUUUUUACACUCUUGACCUCGGAUCAGGUAGGGAUACCCGCUGAACUUAAGCAUAUCAAUAAGCGGAGGA